rnacentral:lncRNA from 1 species
UUCGGAAUGAUCAUUUAUCAGGCGUGAAAGGAUGCAAAUACCCCUAAGUAACCUUUAAAAAUAAUGACCCAUCGAAGAAGAGGAUGGGGGUCACAGUGUGGGGCCCAUCGUAGGGAGCUAUCCUCUCGACGUGGGGCCAUCACAGGGCAUCCCCCUAUCAGUGAAGAGCCGACCAUGCUAGCGAGGUAGUGUCCCCUUAUGGGCUCCCUCACGGUGAGGGUCCAUCGCACAAUUGUCCC